UCCGGUUUGUCACCGGCGGUCUCCUUAGAGUUCCCACCAUUACGUGCUGGCAACUAAGGACAAGGGUUGCGCUCGUUGCGGGACUUAACCCAACAUCUCACGACACGAGCUGACGACAGCCAUGCAGCACCUUGCUAUCUGCCCGAAGGAAACCCCCUUUCAGGGGCUGUCAGAUAGCAUUCGAGCCUGGGUAGGGUUCUUCGCGUUGCAUCGAAUUAAGCCACAUGCUCCACCGCUUGCGCGGGCCCCCGUCAAUUCCUUUGAGUUUCAUCCUUGCGGACGUACUCCCCAGGUGGUGUGCUUACUGCGUUAGCUGCGACACCGACCCCGAAGGGCCAACAUCUAGCACACAUCGUUUACAGCGUGGACUAC
rnacentral:misc_RNA from 1 species